AAGGCGCCACUAAAAGAUGAGGGUGCGGAACAUUAGUUAGUUGGUGAGGUAAUGGCCCACCAAGACUAUGAUGUUUAGCCGGGUCGAGAGACUGAACGGCCACAUUGGGACUGAGAUACGGCCCAAACUCCUACGGGAGGCAGCAGUAGGGAAUAUUCCACAAUGAGCGAAAGCUUGAUGGAGCGACACAGCGUGCACGAUGAAGGUCUUCGGAUUGUAAAGUGCUGUUAUAAGGGAAGAACAUUUGCAAUAGGAAAUGAUUGCAGACUGACGGUACC
rnacentral:rRNA from 1 species